UACGUAAUCGAUUUUGCUGGACGGCAGAAGUACACAUUCGUACAUAGGAAUUAUAUGCAGACGAAGACAACUUUGACCAUAAAAUACCAAAGAAACACGUAGUUCUUGUUUUUUUUUAAACGGGAUAUGUACCUGGCGUUAUCAGGCUAGGUUGGCCACGGUGGAUGUGUUCAAAUCAUAGAUUUAUUCAAAUGUAUUCUGCUCCACUAGAUGGCAUAACGGGAACGGGCGGUACGAGAAACUGGGAGAAGAAGAGAAAGUUGUUGCUUGCUUCCAGCCAUGAACUUACUCUGCCUGCGAUAUAUAUUUUUUAUCCCGUGUUUAUUUUCUUCAGUAAAGUUGUGAACUUAAACCAAACCUCUGCAUUGGCAAAAUAAGCACAUUUAUGCACCGUUUCUUCAUUGGUGGCUGGGCACCGCGGCUGCAUCCUCUUCUUCGUGGCAUGGCACAGUAAUUGCAGGUUCAUCAGUCAGGUGGUCAGCACCCAAACUAAAACCAUGAGUCAUGGUGGCCAGGAUGACGUCCAAGAAUUGCAUCCCAGCAGCACAGAUGGGGGAGCCAACAUGAAGAGGUGUCCAGAGAGGCUUCUUCCUCUUUGGCUUUGCAGCAGCACCAGGACCUCACCAUCAGUGAUGCUGUUCCCCUCAUCCAUCGGGCCUACCCUUACAUUCCUCCCCUGAUGCACUGAUCACCUGUACCAGUUGUUGGAGUUUUCAGAAGGGCUCUAAAUUAACUUUUUUUAUUCACUAGUAGCCAAAAUGGCUAGUAUGUUAAUCUCCAAACAUACCGGUACAUUAAAUAAUGGGUCAAAGUGCCAAGUAUGUUUUCUUUUCUACCAGCAAAAUUUUUCCCAGCAUUUGGCUGGUUGGCUGGUGAGCCCUGGUUGUCAUUGAUGGUGAGUAGCUGUGAUAAUAAAUAACUGAAAUGAUGAAGUCCAUCCAGACAUGUCUUGCUUAUUUUAUUGUACUAAUACAACAACGUAGAACAUUUUCUGUGAAAGCCCAACUGGGAAACUCCAACUCCCAUUGACAUUGUGACACAGCACACAAGUGUUCACUGCACGAAAUUGCAUUUAUGCUUCACCCGUGCACGGGGGCAGCCCCCAAUGGCGCCCCAAGGGAGCAGUGUGGCGGUACCAUGCUCAGGGUAUCUCAGUCAUGGAGGAGGAUGGGGGAGAGCACUGAUUACUUAACUCCCCCCACCAACCUGGUGGGUCGGGAGUCCAACCGGCAACCUUUGGGAUACAAGGCUGACACUCUAACCACUUACCCAUGACCGCCUGUCAAUCUUCAGUCUAGUCUAACUAAUUAUAUUGUCUCCACUAAAUGUAUAUCUCAGGUGACAUGGGUAUACUGGUAUGGGGAUAGUGCUGUAUGUAAAUAAUAUUAACCCAUUUCAGCCGGCACCAAAAUGCCAGCUAAUUGCCUAUGCCCCUUUUAAGAAAGGUGUCCUCAUCCUAUAAAAAACCCCAAAUAACUAAAUAAGUCUCUGAAGCACAUACAGACAUGAUAUGAGUUUUAAAAGCUAAGACUAUCCUCUUGCAUUAGAACAUGUUAAUUCAGCUCUAACAUACCCACAUUUUUAAUCUAAAAAAAUCUAAUAUGUCAUGCCUAAAUGCUGUGUCGCUCCAGGCACCUAGGUCAAUACAACGAGUACACAGCAUCCAGCAUCAAUGGGUUGACUAUUACAGGCCUAGUUCAGAUAACCAUUUAUUAAUAUAAAUAAGUACUUGCAUGUCUAUUGUACAUGUCCACCCCACAAUAGAUAUCCCCUCCCAUCACCUACAAAACCUUGAAAUGUAUUUGUACUUUGUGUCUAAAAAUAAAGUAUUUGAGCCAUUGAA